CACAUGAUGAAACUUAGGCUCAGCGCCCUGCCAAGGAAGCGACCAGCCAAGGCCACCUGAGGACCCAAUUCACAGGAAGCCCGCAAGCCCGGAAGUCCCAUGCUGUUGCUCCAUGCUGCCGCCCAGUGGCUGUGCGAACUACCCGGAACUACCAUCCAGGGGCUGGGCUGCCAGACGGGUCCAAGUGGACAUUCCUGUCAAGGUUUCUAACCUCAGAAGCGGCAGAAACAACAGACUUUGGAUCAAGACGGUGGAACCCUGGGGGAGAAGACACAGCCCCUGUCUUCCAGAAGCUUCUAAUCUGAGACAAGUGCCUAUGCUCCAGAUGUUUCUGACUGAUGGGGAGACAGAAUUCCUGCCCUUGGGAAGCUAGCUCCGGUCUGAUGGGGACGCACAGCAGCCAAGCAUGGGGAUGCUGUGCUGAAGGCCUUCCUAACAGCCGUUGCCUCUUUCUUCUUGCUAAUAGAUGCAUCCAGGUGCAAAGUCCCCCCGCCCCCCACCUCCUUUUUUCGGCCAUGAUGCUUGGAGCUGUAGCAUGAGUCCUGGCAUCGUGAGUGUAGAGAUGGCCAAUAUGGCGGAGCAGAAGUUAGGGAAAGGCUGAGUCCUUGCCAACAUGUUUGGGAAGCUGCCUCAGCUCUUGCACGGCCCUCUUUCCAAAUUCUUGUCAUGUGAGAGUCAGACUUGCCCGUUAUCCAGCCCUCUUUUUGCCGGGCACUUUGUCUUGCAACCAAAAGUCUGCUAAAGAUACAUACGUGACUCCAUGAAGAGGUCACGAUAGGGAGACAAAAUUUCUGCUCUUAAGUAACUCAGGCUGUUGGGCAAGAGCCACGGUCCCUCAAAAUCCCACUCAUGAGUCUGCUGUCUGGGGGGCACUGAGCAAAGCCCUCCAGCUACCACCCAUCUCUCUCUGCCCCUUCAGAGCCCAUGUUUUCUCCAGGAAGUAGUCUACACUUACUAUCUUUGCCUCGCUCCCCACGUGCUCCCCUGCCUGCCCUACUCUGACCUUGUCCUCACCACCUCGUGGAAAUAGCCCCCUCGGAGGUCUUCAGUGGUCUUCCUGCCCCAAAUCCAAGGAGGCUUAUCAGCUCCUAUCCUGGAGGACUCCUCUCAUGACAUUGGCCUCUGUGGAUCAUCUCCUCCUUGCCAAGGCCCUGACCUUCUCUCCGGGUUCUCCUUGUCUCUAUCUCCCCCUCUGUCUUCUUUCUGGCCCCUUAAACCUUAAAUGGGUGGCUGCUUCCAACUCUCAGCUCCUCGAUCCACUCCUGAAUCCGUGCCCCCAUUUGGCCUCUCCUGUGAGCUGUGAGCUCCUACAUUCACAUGCCUACUGCACAUCUCCUUCUGUGGGUGUUCUGGAAGCUUCUUCAGCUCCACGUGCCCUAAACAGAACAUCUCCUCCCCUCUCCCAUCAGGACCUCCUCCUGGGGUCUUUACCUCAGUGGCUCCAUGCACACAGUCUUAUAGCCACUCAGCUCCCUAUCCCUUUACCCCGUCCAUCACCAAGCUCAAGUGCAUCUGAAUUUCUCCAUCCCGACCACUCUUGAGGU